UACGGAGGGUGCGAGCGUUGUCCGGAAUCAUUGGGCGUAAAGGGCGCGUAGGUGGCCACUUCAAGCGUGCGGUGAAAGUCGGGGGCUCAACCCCUGAUCGGCCGUGCGAACUGGGGGGCUGGAGCACUGUAGAGGCAGGCGGAAUUCCGGGUGUAGCGGUGGAAUGCGUAGAGAUUCGGAGGAACACCGGUGGCGAAGGCGGCCUGCUGGGCAGUGUCUGACGCUGAGGCGCGACAGCGUGGGGAGCAAACAGG
rnacentral:rRNA from 1 species